rnacentral:rRNA from 1 species
AUUGAACGCUGGCGGCAGGCCUAACACAUGCAAGUCGAACGGUAACAGGAAACAGCUUGCUGUUUCGCUGACGAGUGGCGGACGGGUGAGUAAUGUCUGGGAAACUGCCUGAUGGAGGGGGAUAACUACUGGAAACGGUAGCUAAUACCGCAUAACGUCGCAAGACCAAAGAGGGGGACCUUCGGGCCUCUUGCCAUCGGAUGAGCCCAGAUGGGAUUAGCUUGUUGGUGGGGUAACGGCUCACCAAGGCGACGAUCCCUAGCUGGUCUGAGAGGAUGACCAGCCACACUGGAACUGAGACACGGUCCAGACUCCUACGGGAGGCAGCAGUGGGGAAUAUUGCACAAUGGGCGCAAGCCUGAUACAGCCAUGCCGCGUGUAUGAAGAAGGCCUUCGGGUUGUAAAGUACUUUCAGCGGGGAGGAAGGGAGUAAAGUUAAUACCUUUACUCAUUGACGUUACCCGCAGAAGAAGCACCGGCUAACUCCGUGCCAGCAGCCGCCGUAA